rnacentral:rRNA from 1 species
GACGAACGCUGGCGGCGUGCUUAACACAUGCAAGUCGAACGGACAGACCCUGCUUUUGUGGGGUUCUCGAUUGGCGAACGGGUGAGUAACACGUGAGCAACCUGCCCUUGUCUUUCGGAUAACUUCAGGAAACUGGGGCUCAUACCGGAUAGGAGCUCCUGCUGCAUGGUGGGGAUUGGAAAGUUUCGGCGGUUGUGGAUGGACUCGCUGCUUAUCAGCUUGUUUGUGUGGUAGUGGCUUACCAAGGCUUUGACGGCUAGCCGGCCUGAGAGGGUGAACGGCCACAUUGGGACUGAGAUACGGACCAGACGCGUACGGGAGGCAGCAGGGGGGAAUAUUGCACAAUGGGCGGAAGCGUGAUGCAGCAACGCUGCGUGCGGGAUGACGGCCUUUGGGGUGUAAACAGAUGUGGAAUGUGACGAAGAGGGAGUGACGGUAAUGGGUAAAGAAGCAACGGCUAACUACGUG